GUCGAACGGAAAGGCCCUUCGGGGUACUCGAGUGGCGAACGGGUGAGUAACACGUGGGUGAUCUGCCCUGCACUCUGGGAUAAGCCUGGGAAACUGGGUCUAAUACCGGAUAGGACCACAUGCUUCAUGGUGUGUGGUGCAAAGCUUUUGCGGUGUGGGAUGAGCCCGCGGCCUAUCAGCUUGUUGGUGGGGUAAUGGCCUACCAAGGCGACGACGGGUAGCCGGCCUGAGAGGGUGACCGGCCACACUGGGACUGAGAUACGGCCCAGACUCCUACGGGAGGCAGCAGUGGGGAAUAUUGCACAAUGGGCGCAAGCCUGAUGCAGCGACGCCGCGUGAGGGAUGACGGCCUUCGGGUUGUAAACCUCUUUCAGUAGGGACGAAGCGAAAGUGACGGUACCUACAGAAGAAGGACCGGCCAACUACGUGCCAGCAGCCGCGGUAAUACGUAGGGUCCGAGCGUUGUCCGGAAUUACUGGGCGUAAAGAGCUCGUAGGUGGUUUGUCGCGUUGUUCGUGAAAACUCACAGCUUAACUGUGGGCGUGCGGGCGAUACGGGCAGACUAGAGUACUGCAGGGGAGACUGGAAUUCCUGGUGUAGCGGUGGAAUGCGCAGAUAUCAGGAGGAACACCGGUGGCGAAGGCGGGUCUCUGGGCAGUAACUGACGCUGAGGAGCGAAAGCGUGGGUAGCGAACAGGAUUAGAUACCCUGGUAGUCCACGCCGUA
rnacentral:rRNA from 1 species